UACAGAGGGUGCAAACGUUGUUCGGAAUCACUGGGCAUAAAGCGUACGUAGGCGGCGCCGUAAGUGUCGGAUGAAAUCCCACGGCUUACCCGUGGAACGGUCCGGCAUACUGCGGUGCUAGAGGAUGGUAGAGGAGAGCGGAACUCUUGGUGGAGCGGUGAAAUGCGUAGAUAUCAAGAGGAACACCGGUGGCGAAGGCGGCUCUCUGGUCCAUGUCUGACGCUGAGGUACGAAAGCCAGGGGAGCAAACGGG
rnacentral:rRNA from 2 species